GAAAAUGUGAGUGUGCGUCCGUGUGUGCGCGCGGACGCUUUUCUGAACCAGGGAUCCCACUUGACAAGUGGAUUUUGUGACGAGCGGAUUUACAAUCAGGGAAUGCUGUGAACGGGAAAAAUGAUGAGCUGUCCUAACUUGCCCAGACAUGCCGUGAUGACGUCACAGCUGACGUCACAGGAUGUCCGGAACUGGUGGUCAUAGCUGCGAUGCUUUGCAACCUGCCUCUGUGCUCCGUCACCCAGCGACGAUCAGCAGCCGUUCCGGACCGCUUUCUUCAAGAUGUCGUCGUUGAUCUUCAACUAAACUCCUUCUCUCCACUCUAUUUCUAUAUAUUUUUUUAUUUUUUAUCAGCUCGAGAAGCCGGCAACUCACACAGUGGUCUGGACACGAGAUAGACGUUCCCCAAUUAGUGUAAUGACUCCCUGAAUGACCCUAAUUAAUGUGGGGGGUUCCAAAUUGCUCUAAUUGCUAAUUAAUGGCGUCCAGAUGACUGUGUGACUUGCCGGCUUCUUGAGCUGAUCCACUACUACUCAUAGCAGGCUACCAUUAUGCGUGCAUCCACCAGGGGACCGACAACCAUGCGUCUGGUAGAAGUAAAAUGCUGGCAUGCAUUUUGAAUAUAUUAAUUUAUUCCUGACUAUUCAGGCAUGGACACAAAGUUUAAACGGAUACUUUCUGUCUAGACAUCACACUGAGAGUGUCUGACUAGACACAGCUUGUACAGGAAGCAUGGGUCAUUUUCUCAUCAAAAAUCACUUUGCAUGAGCUAAAAGUUAAACGCAGCAGUCAGCAGGGAUAUGUUCAUAUUGAUACGUAUUAAUAUGCACGUUAAAGGGCGAUCCAUUGUCAUAAUAAAAUGUGUCACUACUGGUA